rnacentral:rRNA from 1 species
UACGUAGGUGACAAGCGUUGUCCGGAUUUACUGGGCGUAAAGAGCGCGCAGGCGGUCGUUCAAGUCGAGUGUGAAAGCCCCCCGGCUCAACUGGGGGAGGGUCACUCGAUACUGAUCGACUCGAAGGCAGGAGAGGGUAGUGGAAUUCCCGGUGUAGUGGGUGAAAUGCGUAGAUAAUCGGGGAGGAACACCAGUGGCGAAGGCGACUACCUGGCCUGUUCUUGACGCUGAGGCGCGAAAGCUAGGGGAGCAAACGGGG